AUAUCAAUAAGCGGAGGAAAAGAAACCAACAGGGAUUGCCCCAGUAACGGCGAGUGAAGCGGCAACAGCUCAAAUUUGAAAUCUGGCCUCCGGGUCCGAGUUGUAAUUUGUAAGAGGAUGCUUUUGGCGAGGUGCCUUCCGAGUUCCCUGGAACGGGACGCCAUAGAGGGUGAGAGCCCCGUCUGGUCGGACACCGAGCCUCUGUAAAGCUCCUUCGACGAGUCGAGUAGUUUGGGAAUGCUGGCUCAAAAUGGGAGGUAUAUGUCUUCUAAAGCUAAAUAUUGGCCAGAGACCGAUAGCGCACAAGUAGAGUGAUCGAAAGAUGAAAAGCACUUUGAAAAGAGGGUUAAAAAGUAC
rnacentral:rRNA from 1 species